AAAUCCGAAGACGUGAUGUGGAGCGAAAUAAAGUAGUGAAGCGUGUGAGCCAUGUGCCGAGAAAAGCUGCUAUUGUGUAAUGCGUGCCCGUACCGUAAACCGACACAGGUGGAUGAGGAGAGAAUCCUAAGGCCGGCGUAAGAAGCAUUGUUAAGGAAUUCGGCAAAAUGACCCCGUAACUUCGGGAGAAGGGGUGCCUGCGAGAGCAGGCCGCAGAGAAUAGGCUCAAGCAACUGUUUAGCAAAAACACAGGUCUAUGCGAAACCGAAAGGUGAAGUAUAUGGGCUGACGCCUGCCCGGUGCUGGAAGGUUAAGAGGAGAGGUUAGCUUCGGCGAAGCUUUGAAUUUAAGCCCCAGUAAACGGCGGCCGUAACGAUAACGGUCCUAAGGUAGCGAAAUUCCUUGUCGGGUAAGUUCCGACCCGCACGAAAGGCGUAAUGAUUUGAGCACUGUCUCGACAGUGCAUCCGGUGAAAUUGAAGUACCAGUGAAGAUGCUGGUUACCCGCGCCAGGACGGAAAGACCCCAUGGAGCUUUACUCCAGUUUGAUACUGGGAUUCGGUACUGCAUGUACAGGAUAGGUGGGAGACGAAGAAGGAUGGACGCCAGUCUGUCCGGAGUCGCUGUUGGGAUACCACCCCUGUAGUACUGGGUUUCUAACCAGUUGCCAUGAACUGGCAAUGGGACAAUGUCAGGCGGGGAGUUUGACUGGGGCGGUCGCCUCCGAAAGGGUAUCGGAGGCGCUCAAAGGUUCCCUCAGAAUGGUUGGAAACCAUUUGAAGAGUGCAAAGGCAGAAGGGAGCUUGACUGCGACACCGACGGGUGGAGCAGGUACGAAAGUAGGACUUAGUGAUCCGGUGGUAUAAAGUGGGAUUGCCAUCGCUCAACGGAUAAAAGCUACCCUGGGAUAACAGGCUUAUCACUCCCAAGAGUUCACAUCGACGGAGUGGUUUGGCACCUCGAUGUCGGCUCAUCGCAUCCUGGGGCUGUAGCAGGUCCCAAGGGUUGGGCUGUUCGCCCAUUAAAGCGGUACGCGAGCUGGGUUCAGAACGUCGUGAGACAGUUCGGUCCCUAUCCGGCGCGGGCGGAGGAUAUUUGAGAGGAGCUGUCCUUAGUACGAGAGGACCGGGAUGGACGGACCACUGGUGUAUCUGUUGUCGACCAACGGCAUGGCAGAGUAGCCAAGUCUGGAAGGGAUAAACGCUGAAGGCAUCUAAGCGUGAAGCCCCCCUCAAGAUGAGAUAUCCCUCCUUCGGGAGUAAGACCCCUUGAAGACUACAAGGUAGAUAGGGCAGAGGUGGAAGCAUGGCAACAUGUGGAGCUGACUGUUACUAAUAGGUCGAGGGCUUAAC
rnacentral:rRNA from 1 species